GACGAACGCUGGCGGCGUGCUUAACACAUGCAAGUCGAACGAAGUGGCGAACGGGUGAGUAACGCGUAAUCAACCUGCCCUUCAGAGGGGGACAACAGUUGGAAACGACUGCUAAUACCGCAUACUGAAGGAGGGGAUUGCGUCUGAUUAGCUGGUUGGAGGGGUAACGGCUCACCAAGGCGAUGGUCAGUAGCCGGUCUGGGAGGGAGAACGGCCACACUGGGACUGGAACACGGCCCAGACCCCUACGGGAAGCAGCAGUGGGGGAUCUUACGAAAUGGAAGAAAGUCUGACGGAGCAACGGCGCGUGAGUGAGGAGGGCCUUCGGGUUGUAAAGCUCUGUUAAUCGGGACGCGGUACCGGAAUAGAAAGCCACGGCUAACUACGUGCCAGCAGCCGCGGUAAUUC
rnacentral:rRNA from 1 species